AAAGCCCAGUAGUGCCAUCACCAUGGGGCCUCUGCCCCGUUCCCCUCUCAGGUGGAUGCAUCACCCAGGACCUUCGUCAGCUGAGCCCAAGGAGCUCCUGUGCCUAAAGAGCUGCCCACUGAUUCUGGUAGCCAGCAGAGCAGUUUGCUGGCCCAGCUGCAUCUCAGUGCAAGAGCAACACAGGUUAAGCAAAUUAUGAAAUAAAUCUGGAGAAUUAAAUAAUAGUGUUUCUUCCCACUGAAGACCUUCCUUUGUGGACACUGGGAGAGUGCUGGGGCUGACCUCUCUCCCUUGCUCUCACUGUGAGCUCGCUGCCAUAGCCCGAGGCUGGAAAAGCUGACAAGGGGCUGCCCUGGAACUGGUGUCAGGAUAUUAAAUGGAACAAGGAAAGAACUUUGUAUGGGAGUGACAUCCACGUGAAUCUGACCAGGGGCACCACCUCACUGCCCACCCACGUUAGGUCUGUGCCUGAGGUUCUGGCCUGAGGACCAGAACCCCGUGUUAGUCACUGCUAAUGAUGCACCUAGUGCAGGGCAGGCUGAGGGCUGCUGCCAUCCUGCUGCCUCUGUGCUUCCUCAUCAGGCAGCCCCGAGGUGAUUUAACACAAUGGGAUGGGAUGAGUGCUCAUCACUGGGAAGCCUGCAAAUGUUUGUAGUUAUAAUUAGGAAAUGUUCUAACACUCCUAUUAACCUGAUUGAUGUGAAGUCUUGCUUAGGCAGAAAACUGAUUUUUCCCCAAGUGACUCCAAAAGAAGAUCCAUUUAGUUUGAAAUGGAACUUAAAAGGAGUGCAAAUUACUGAUGAUCCCUGUAACCAAUGAACAAAUUAUUGGCGCAUCUUCAAGGGUUUGUCAUGAGGGAAGAAACCCCAAAAUGAGGAUGUAUGCUAUGAGAGAGUGACACUUUUUUAUCCUGUAGGUAGGACCACAGCAGAGUCUGCAUGGACAUGUGCUGCAUCCCACACCAGGCUGUGCCACUGGUCCAAAGCAAAGCUUGCUGACACUGCCCCAUCCAUACUCACUAUCAAAUUUAGGACAUGUCUGUCCUAAAAGGACAAGAUCAUUGUAUAAUUGUGAGCAGAAGAACCAAAUAAAAAGCUAGGAUGGCUUUACCAGUGCA